rnacentral:rRNA from 1 species
GGCGUGCACUGCUUGGCUGGGCCUUACUUCUUGGAGAGCCGGCGUGCCCUUUAAGGGGUGUGCGUCGGAGCACCGAGGACUUUUACCUUGAAAAAUUUAAAGUGUUCAAAGCAAGCUCUAUGCCUGAAUUACAUUCAGCGUAGGAAUAUAGAUAACGGACGUGGCGCUUCUAUUUUUGUUGGUGUCUAGAGUGGCCCUAAUGAUUAUAUGGACACUUGUGGGCAUAGGUAUUGAGUCGCUAGAGAUGAAAUCUUCGGAUGUACUCUAAGACCGAGUAUUAGUGAAAGCACAUGCCACAGGAUGUGUUCUCUAAUCACGAGCGAAGGUUAGGGGAUCGAAAACGAUCAGAGACCGUUGUAGUGUCUACACUGAACUAUGCCCAGUAGGGAGAGGAUGACCUCAAAAAUGAUGUGUCACUUGGCGCACUAUGAGAAAUCUAAGUCUCUGGGUUCUGGGGGGAGUAUAGUCUCACGACUGAAACUUAAAGGAAUUGACGGAAGGGCGCCCCCCGGUGUGGAGCGCGCGGCUUAAUUUGUCUCAACACGGGGAAACUCUCCAGGUCCAGACAUAACUAGGAUAGACAGAGAGAUAGCUCUUUCAUGAUAUUAUGGGUGGUGGUGCACGGCCGUUCUUAGUUGGUGGAGUGAUUUGUCUGGUUAAUUCUGAUAACGAACGAGACCCUAACACGCUAAAUAGCCACGCCGGGUUUGGGUGGUGUCUGGCUUUUUAGAGGGAGAGUCAG